rnacentral:tRNA from 1 species
GCAGGGAUUCCCGAGCCUGGUUAAAGGGGUGGGACUUAAGAUCCCAUGACUUAGCGUCUUCGCUGGUUCAAAUCCAGCUCCCUGCA